GACGAACGCUGGCGGCGUGCCUAAUACAUGCAAGUAGGACGCACAGUUUAUACCGUAGCUUGCUACACCAUAGACUGUGAGUUGCGAACGGGUGAGUAACGCGUAGGUAACCUGCCUAUUAGAGGGGGAUAACUAUUGGAAACGAUAGCUAAUACCGCAUAACAGUAUGUAACACAUGUUAGAUGCUUGAAAGAUGCAAUUGCAUCGCUAGUAGAUGGACCUGCGUUGUAUUAGCUAGUAGGUAGGGUAAUGGCCUACCUAGGCGACGAUACAUAGCCGACCUGAGAGGGUGAUCGGCCACACUGGGACUGAGACACGGCCCAGACUCCUACGGGAGGCAGCAGUAGGGAAUCUUCGGCAAUGGGGGGAACCCUGACCGAGCAACGCCGCGUGAGUGAAGAAGGUUUUCGGAUCGUAAAGCUCUGUUGUUAAGGAAGAACGAGUGUGAAAAUGGAAAGUUCAUACUGUGACGGUACUUAACCAGAAAGGGACGGCUAACUACGUGCCAGCAGCCGCGGUAAUACGUAGGUCCCGAGCGUUGUCCGGAUUUAUUGGGCGUAAAGCGAGCGCAGGCGGUUAGAAAAGUCUGAAGUGAAAGGCAGUGGCUCAACCAUUGUAGGCUUUGGAAACUGUUUAACUUGAGUGCAGAAGGGGAGAGUGGAAUUCCAUGUGUAGCGGUGAAAUGCGUAGAUAUAUGGAGGAACACCGGUGGCGAAAGCGGCUCUCGGGUCUGUAACUGACGCUGAGGCUCGAAAGCGUGGGGAGCGAACAGG
rnacentral:rRNA from 1 species